UCUCCAGACUCCUACGGGAGGCAGCAGUGGGGAAUAUUGCACAAUGGGGGAAACCCUGAUGCAGCGACGCCGCGUGAGUGAAGAAGUAUUUCGGUAUGUAAAGCUCUAUCAGCAGGGAAGAAAAUGACGGUACCUGACUAAGAAGCCCCGGCUAACUACGUGCCAGCAGCCGCGGUAAUACGUAGGGGGCAAGCGUUAUCCGGAUUUACUGGGUGUAAAGGGAGCGUAGACGGCCAGACAAGUCAGAAGUGAAAGCCCAGGGCUCAACCCUGGGACUGCUUUUGAAACUGCCGGGCUGGAGUGCAGGAGAGGUAAGCGGAAUUCCUAGUGUAGCGGUGAAAUGCGUAGAUAUCAGGAGGAACACCGGCGGCGAAGGCGGCCUGCUGGACCGCGACUGACGUUGAGGCUCGAAAGCGUGGGGAGCGAACAGGAUUAGAUACCCUUGUAACA
rnacentral:rRNA from 1 species